rnacentral:tRNA from 1 species
GCCUUCGUGGUGCAAUGGUCUGCACGUUCGACGUGUAACCGAGAAGUCCGUGUUCGAUUCCCAGCGAAAGCG